GCUGAAAAAAGACAGCUGUCUUGCUUCAAUUCUACUAUAGUUUUUGGAAAACACUAAAAACAAUCACAAAUUAGGCUGUGUCAGUUCAAAGAUCCUUUAUGAAUUAUUUCCUUUCAUCUCUUUAAUUCCAGUGUUUUUAAAAGGUGAAGGCAGUUUUUUAGGUUUUUCCUGCCAUUUGAAUCAGUAAAUAGCUUGUUGAAAAUGGCUGGAAAACAUGAAAUGUGUUAAGCAAACACCUAUUAGAUUUUGUACGUAACUGAAUCCUGUGGAAAAAGGGUAUUUAACAAAAAUGGACCUGUUUACACAAUUCCAUAAUUGGACACUAUUCCUUCUACAGUUCGGAGACCUUCAAAGUUUUCAACUUUAGCCUUUGAGUAGUACAUCAGUUUGAAAUGUAACUUUGUUUAGACAACCUUUUUAAGUAUUCAGAUAUCUUUAGUUGUUCAAACUUUUUAAUUCUGAAACUUUUAAUCUCUUUUUAACAGUUUGAAAUAUCACUGGAGGGCUUUGAGAGGUAUGCUGAAUAUUUUUUCAAACCAGGAGGACCCCUUAGCUUCGACUCACUGAAAAAAGGCCUCAACUUACUACGCAUUGCACGCAGCAUCUCUGACACACUCAAAGAAAAAAUUGACAGCCUUCCAAAUAUUAUAGAAAAGAAUUUCCCUCCUCCUAAGGUCCUGUUUGGUUUCAAACUGUUUGGAAAUGAAAUAAAGUACCUUGAAUUUAGAGGAGAGUCGGAAAUCUACAAAAUGCUGAGUAAAUUUAAUCCUUACAAUAUCCUUUUGGACUUUUUCGAAGGCCAGGUAAUUUUUCAUUUUUAUAUCAUGAAUAAAAAUUUUGUUUUUUCUCUCGGGUAUACCUAAAAUGUUUACUGUUCUGCAGUCCUUUAGUUCAGUUGAAGUCAGAAUUACGUAACUGAUUUCUCUAAAAUUCGAUUGUUAUAUCAUGUCGGGUCCUGAUAACUAAGAACGCACUCAGAAUAAUAUGUUAAUCGAAAAUGUUCGUUAUAUGAUUCACAAGUGUAUGUAAGAGAGGCUAUCUAUGUGUGCCCAUUGGUGACUGUUAAGCAUUGAUGCAAGAGUAUGCAUCAUGCAUAUUCAUAUUAAACAAUAUUUUUAAAACUAUACCAAAAUUGUUACAAUCACUACAUCGGUUAAAAGUGAUUGUGCUUUAAACAUAAAUAAAAAGAAGUAGAGUGUAGCUUGAUUUUGUAAAUUUUAGUGGAGUGAAAAUAAAUGGUUAUUCAUUCUGUGCAAUUUUUCUAAUUCUGACUCUAAUUUUCUGUAGUAUGUAAUUUGACGUCCUGCAGGCUAAUUAUGGAAAUUGAUAGACAAAGCUGUGGACAGAGAAGGCAAAAAGGAUAAAUAGGGAUCCUAUUGAUGGAAGCAGAUGGUUGCAAUAGACAAAGGAGGUAGGUAAUAGACUAACUAACGGUAAUGCACAAGAGACCCUAUACUUAGUCCAUCAUUUUCUCCCAUAGUCUGUAGGAGCCACCCAUUUCAACCUAUAGGAUUGCCCCAUACUCCUGAUGUCUUCUCUAUCUAUAGCUUUGUCUAUCAAUUUCAAUAAUCAGCCCUCUGAAGUACUGUAGUUUAUUAAUUUUUAAUCAUAAAAAUUUCGGGU
rnacentral:lncRNA from 1 species